GAUGAACACUGGCGGCGUGCUUAACACAUGCAAGUCGAACGGAAAGGCCCAAGCUUGCUUGGGUACUCGAGUGGCGAACGGGUGAGUAACACGUGGGUGAUCUGCCCUGCACUUCGGGAUAAGCCUGGGAAACUGGGUCUAAUACCGGAUAGGACCACAUUUUGGGUGGUGUGGUGGAAAGUUUUUCGGUGUGGGAUGAGCUCGCGGCCUAUCAGCUUGUUGGUGGGGUAAUGGCCUACCAAGGCGUCGACGGGUAGCCGGCCUGAGAGGGUGUACGGCCACAUUGGGACUGAGAUACGGCCCAGACUCCUACGGGAGGCAGCAGUGGGGAAUAUUGCACAAUGGGCGCAAGCCUGAUGCAGCGACGCCGCGUGGGGGAUGACGGCCUUCGGGUUGUAAACUCCUUUCGCUAGGGACGAAGCGUUAUGUGACGGUACCUGGAGAAGAAGCACCGGCUAACUACGUG
rnacentral:rRNA from 1 species